UACGAAGGGGGCUAGCGUUGCUCGGAAUCACUGGGCGUAAAGCGCACGUAGGCGGAUCUUUAAGUCAGAGGUGAAAGCCCGGAGCUCAACUCCGGAACUGCCUUUAAAACUGCAUCGCUUGAAUCCAGGAGAGGUGAGUGGAAUUCCGAGUGUAGAGGUGAAAUUCGUAGAUAUUCGGAAGAACACCAGUGGCGAAGGCGGCUCACUGGACUGGUAUUGACGCUGAGGUGCGAAAGCGUGGGGAGCAAACAGG
rnacentral:rRNA from 1 species